rnacentral:rRNA from 1 species
GACGAACGCUGGCGGCGUGCUUAACACAUGCAAGUCGAACGAAAAUACCAAGCUUGCUUGGUUGAUUAGUGGCGAACGGGUGAGUAACACGUGAGUAACCUGCCCCUUACUUUCCUGGAUAACUGCUCGAAAGGGUAGCUAAUACGGGAUAUUCUGACCAGCCUGCAUGGGUUGGUUUGGAAAGGUUGUUUUUCUGGUAAGGGAUGGGCUCGCGGCCUAUCAGCUUGUUGGUGGGGUGAUGGCCUACCAAGGCUUUGACGGGUAGCCGGCCUGAGAGGGUGGACGGUCACACUGGGACUGAGAUACGGCCCAGACGCCUACGGGAGGAAGCAGUGGGGAAUAUUGCACAAUGGGCGCAAGCCUGAUGCAGCGACGCCGCGUGAGGGAUGAAGGCCUUCGGGUUGUAAACCUCUUUCGUCAGGGAACAAGGCACUGCUUUUUUGGUGGUGUUGAGGGUACCUGGAUAAGAAGCGCCGGCUAACUACGUG